ACUGUAUUAUACUUUCAAUAAAACAUAUGCGGUGGGAUUGUAAAAGCCGGGUGGAAACAUCAAGCCCGGAACCUUUUAUCGCUGCUGAAGCGCAUCGGUCUCAUUUAGAGGUUGCAUAACAUCACCGCACAGGAUCAACACGUGAGUCUUUUCGAAUAUCUUACUUUAUGCGACGUUUAGAUGAAUCGGUUGCUAUUUUUUUUGUAGUCAAUGUUUGAUGCAUAGAAGCUUUCCAGCGUCAGUGAUUUAGUGGUUGAAUUAUAAGAUGAUGUGUAGAUCUCACAUUAUAACAUUGAACAUACUCCAAUUUGCCAAAACGAGUGGUAAAAGAUAUGUUGGUCAGCACUAGCCGGGGAGAAAAUCACCAAAAUGUGUACAGCCAUAUAUAAAUGUCACAUUUCAACCCAAAAGUAAAAACGGGUGAAAUAUUCGCAUGAAUAGAGCAUAUUUAAUAUUUUUGCACUGGGAUUUUCUUGUCGUGCUCUUGACAAUUCUCAUCACGUUCUCAGCUGGGCUUCACAUCUCUGAGGGUUUGUGUUUGGAGCUGUAAACUCCUGCCAUGGGCAGAUUGAGAAAAGAAACACAACUGGAAAGGCAGACAGGCAGAGCACAUCUGAACGACAGCUGCUGCAGAUAGAAAGACAGAUGUGCAGGUGGAGAUACAAGAUGGAGUCAUGCUUAAAGGAGUAGACGACUGCAACGCUCUUGUUCUGUCCGCCACCAAAACG